rnacentral:piRNA from 1 species
UGAUUAGUGUAGUCAUGGGACAGGCCA